UGUUGCCAUAGCGUCUGCGGAACUCCUGUCUCCUGCAGAUGGAAGUCCCCUUCCCUGGAGAGAAGUCUUUUAACCCUUUAACAAGGCAUCCAUCUUUCCCCCCGCCCCACCUCAAGCUCAAGAGCUGCCCUCCACCAAUCUAGAAUAUGUUGCCUUCCCUGUCAAGGUGGGUUUCUCAGUCUCACCUUGGGAAUUCGUACAAGAUAUUCUCGCUUGCAUUGUGAGACUUCCGAGCCCUAGCAAACUAGCAAGUGGGUGUGCAGGUGGACGCAUUAUCCUAGACUUCCCCAAUUUGGACCCAACCCCAAAGAUGUUGCACUAAAACUCAUCACUGCAGCUGGAGAAAGCUGGAAUCUGUGGCAUCGUGCAGCUGGGCAUAUCAGUGGCGUAUCAGGAGGCAAACUCACCUGUCCCUCCUGGUAUGCUCAGCAGGCAGAAGGACAGGUGCCCAGAACUGCCCCACGCACCAGUCAACCUCUGAGACCCAAAGAGGGAACCAGACAUCUCAUCGCUUUGCCUGAAGAAUGAAAGACUAUUGCUCACUUCUGCCCAGAAACUCCUCCACUAGCAAUGUCCCUCCUUCCAUCGGAUGGCAGAAAACCGGAUUCUCUUUGGGAUCACAACCCGUUCAAGGACACGUGCCAACUUUUGCCAACACAGUAGCAAAUGCACUCAGGCUGCAACCGUAAACUGUAAGCAAGGCCCAUUGAAUGCAAUGAGAAAUACCUGCAAGCAGAGGCUCACAGGAAUGCAUUAUCAAGGUGCUGAUCAAAGAGUUUCAACAAUCUUCUAUGACAACAUAACUACGUAUGUUGUGGACUGACUACAUGAAAACCAUUUAUGCAACAUGUGAAGUGGCCUUUGUAGAUCACAACUUGCUUUAAGGAUUAAAACAGGGUUUGUUCAGA